ensembl:snRNA U6 U6 spliceosomal RNA
GUGCUCAUUUCGGCAGCACAUACACUAAAAUUCAAAUGAUGCAGAGAAGAUUAACAUGGCCCCUGCACAAGGGUGACACACAAGUGCAUGAGCAUUCUGUAUUUUUC